ensembl:lncRNA
GCCCUUCAUCCCCCAUCCCAUUUCCAUGUGACUAAGACAUUGUUAACGCAACUGCUAGUGAUUAGUACCAUGAACAUUGGUAUGACUUUAACAUUGGCAUAACUUUAACUCUGCAGAUCCAGAGAAAGGAGGCAUGAUGCCAAGGAGUGGAGGCCCACCCAGCCAUCCUUCAAGCACAACUAUGUAGGAAGCCACCUACUCUGUCUGACCAGGCUGCUGAAAGUGGUGUGUGGUCAUCAGAGGAGAGAUACCUGCGGAGUGAAAUCAGUUUCUCUUAUCUCACUGGGCUGGGAUUUAUUUCAAGGCAUCUAUUAAUAGACUGCAAUGCCAAGAACUGUGAUCUUUGCCCUGGAUGGCAAGAGACUUCUGAGCAGAAUGACAGAGACCCAUGGGAGCUGUCCCUCCUGCUUCCCUUGAUGCCUGCAUGUCACGGAUCAGUUCGCCAGGCCUAUGCAAGCAUCUUUGGACAGCAGCUACCAAACUGAGAUGGGCCACAAACUAUAGUCAUGAAAAAUAUAAUUCUGAACCAACUGCCUGGAUUUGAAUUUCAAUGUGGCCUUUGGCAGCAGCUGCCUGUGUAGAGAUCAGCGAAGCAGACAAGCUUGAAUUAUGUGGGGGAGAAAGACAAUGAAAAGACAAGAAAGCAAAUGGAAGAUUUUGAAUAGUGGGUAAAUAUGAAGAACACCAUUUCUGGGCCGCACAUGAUGGUGCACGCUUGUAAUCCUAGCUACUUGGGAGACUAAGGCAAGAGGUUGGCAAGUUCAAGGCCAGCCAGCCUGGGCAACUUAGUAAGACCCUGUCUCAAAAUUAAAAAUGAAAAGGAAUGGGGAUGUAGCUCAAUGGUAGAAUGCUUGCCUAACAUGCAUGAGGCCAUGGGUUGGAUCCAAGUAAAGAAAAGGAAUCAUAACGCUGGGCACAGUGGCACCCUCUCCCCGACAUAGUACUAGCUACUCCAGAGACUGAGGCAGGAGGCUCAUGAGUGCAAGACCAGCCUGAGCAGCAUAGCAAGAACUUCUCUCAAAAACAUUUUUUUCUUAUGGUGGGGAGAGUGAAGGAAAGGGCAGCUCUGUGAAGGAUGGCAAAGGAAGGUCUCUUGCUGACCAUGCCAUUUAAGCUGGAGCCCCAAAAAUUGAACAGAGCCAGGAAAUGGUGUGGGACAAAGCAUCCCAGGCAGAAAGAACAGAUACAAAUGCCAGAGUGUGAGCUUAGGCAAUAGAAGAAGCAAAGAGAUGGUGGGGAUGGCUUGAUCAGAGGGUCUGUGGGGCAAGCUGCUCCCCGUUGUGAAGGAGGUGGCCAUUGCUGAUCAGAUCCCAGGAGGGCUGAAGGCCACCAUAAGUAGUUCAGGCACCAUGGGAGUGUUCAUCAGCAGAGCAGGUCAUUCCCACAUGGGACCUACACAGGUAGACCCACACAGAGAAAGAUACUGAGAAACUGAGUUUAGACUGUGAAAAUAUUUCAUGUUUCUAUAAUUGGCUGUUACUUCAGAUUUGACAUUUAGGAUGAAUAAUUUCUCAGACAUACAAAAGAAAGGGAUAGAUUGGAAAAAUAAGGCAACUCUGAAGCAAAUACCUGAAAAGGAGCAGCAUAGUACACACGUCAUGCUGGACAUUGACCUUUCAAAGCCAGCCUUUAAGGCAUUUUGUCAUGGCUAGAACAGGGACACUACAGGGAAGAAAAAAAUGGGCUGGCUUUCUCAUUAACCACCCCCCCCCCCUUUCACAUCCAUUAAGAGAAGGCACAACUUGGCUUAAGGAACUCAAAACCGGUAAUUUACAAGGGCAUGGUUUAUCCAUAUUUGCAUAGAGCACCCAGGCCCCCCUGUGAGAUCCAGACAAGAACCUUCAGUUUUGCCCACUUGGUUAGUCACAAUGGUCUGUCUUUGUCCUGGGACAUUGGCAGCACUCUGGAGGACCCAGUCAAUGAAAGGACUUGGAGCAAGUAAAUAUUUUGAGGGUUGACCAUGAAACUUCUUCAAAUACAUCUCUUCUAUGUGACUUUCUUCUCUUUAAAGAACUUUGAGAGAGAAAUCUGAGCUCAAAGGGAAAAUGGUUUUAUUAUGAAUUCUGUGAUUAUGUCUAGGAUGCCUAAAAUCACAUAGUAUUAUUCUUGUAAAAGGAUGGAGUUUUAAACACCUAGUGAUUAGAGGCAUUCUCUCACUCUGUAAAUUAAACAGAGAUAUCAUAUCCAGUGUUUCUUGUUGUUUAAAGUAAAUAUGUACAAAAGGUAAAUGAAGCCCUUUUUUUACAAAACAAAGUUACUGUCUGAAAAAAGCUAUGUUGGACUUCAACAGAGGAGUGAUUAACAAAGAGCACAUGAAACAUGAAUUACUUAUAGGUAGAUUUUUAUUCUGUUCACUACAUUUAUUCUUCGCUAACUUUAAAAUACAAAAUAUUUAAAAACAGUAAAAAUGAAGUCAAAUAUUAAAUAAAACUGGGAGAAUGUACAUAAAAUAUAAGAAAUAUGGACACUUCCCACCCCUAUAUAUUUUUCUCUAUUGCCUUAAAUAAAUUUUAAAAUUUCAUUUUUACCUCCGAGGUAUUUCCUUAAUUUGGACAGGCAGUGGAAGCUAGCCCAAUGAUUAAAAAGCUAAAGUAGAAAAGAUGUUACACUAAAUAUUAGUUCCCCAAAGAUCCAUGUUCUAAUUCUUGGAUCCUGUAUCAUGGUAGAAGGCAACUUUGCAGAUGUGAUUAAGUCAAAGAUCUUGAGACAGGCAGGUUAUCCUGCGUUAUCAGUGAGCCCUAAAUGCUACCAUGUGUCCUCAGGACAGACACAGAGGAGGCUGACACAGAAGAGGAGAAAGCAGUGUAGCUACAGAUUGGGCGUUAAACCUGGAAUGGUCUGGCAAAUACUUGAACACCUCCCCCUGCCCCACUACUUAUCAGUAAAAAUUAACCAAUGGCACUUGCAUAAAGUUCACGUCCCUGGAAAAUUCCAUCAGCAUGCUAAUCGCAGACUGAGAUUGUCCUGAGAGGAAGAUGACUAACUUCGAAGGAAAAUACUCCUGAAUUCUAAUCCUGCCUCCACCGUUCCAUCCCUGUAAGAAUUUAGGCAACCAACUAUAUGACCACAAAUUAAACCAUUAAGUAUUUAGAGCCCUGGUGUAGUCACCUUCAGAAUGCCCAUAACAGAACAUAGCUGAUAAUUCCUUACAGGUACAAAGCUCCUUGUGUGGUACCUGGUACAUAAUAAAUGGUAGAUUUUUACUAAAUGGCAACUUUACUCUUUAGUCAAGAGCCACAGUUAGGACUAGGGGUGUAGCUCAGUGGUGGGGUACGCUGUACUUGUGAUUAGCAUGUAGAAGGCCCUGUGUUCAAUCUCAGGUUAUUUUUGGUACCGGGGAUUGAACUUGGGACCUUCUGCUUGCGAGGCAGGUGGCAGAACCACUGAGCGAAAUCCCCGGCCCCUGUAUUUUAAGGGUAAAUGCUGUUUAAUCUUAAUUUUUAAUUUCCUUAACUUAUAUGACAAAUAUUUCCUCUGUUUCAAGUUUCAUCACCCAUAGAGAAAUACUUCCAUCAAGAUUUAGAAAACUUAGAAGUUCCCCAAGAAUGCUUGGCAGAUUGAUUUCAUAUUUAUUGAAAGAUACACUGUGCACAAACUGUACAGAAACUAAUAAGGUGGUAUAGUGACUGCUCUCCAGCAGCUUAUAGUGAUGAAAAAUAAAGCUACACUCCUGGCUUCCAGCUUGCCUGACGCCCUUUCUGCCACUUCCUGGGAAGUAUAACAAUAUUUACUAGAAGCAAAAGUAAUAUGAGAAAUUGCUCUUUUUAGAAUUGUUUUCAAAGCCAAUCUUGUAUUCACAUCUCAAUAUAAAGAGGAGAGAUAGGAAGAAGCUCAAUAUUUAUUGAGUAGCUUCUAAUGCCUAGCACUGUGCUCAAGUUUUCCCAUUUUACUUGUUAAUUGUUACAGCAAACUAACAUGGUAGAUAUUGUAGGAGAGAAAAAGUAAUUGUCUCUUUAUUUGUAAUAAUCCUUAAAUGGGACACCCUAUAUCAAAAGAUAGAUUAAAAAGAGAAAAACAAACAGAAGUUUAUUAACGUGAAUGUCUCAUGCAUUCAUACAGGAGACAGAAAUGAAAAGGUCUGUAGAGAGUUGAGCUCAAAGAAAGAGUUUAAUCUUUAGGCUUAAGUACUGUCAUUUUCUGCAAUAAAGAAAGGUAGGUGCAGGCAAAGUCCAGGUUAAGUAACAGAAGAUGGCCAGGAAAAGCACAUUAAGCAAAGGUAAAGUUUGUUAGCAGAUGUGAGUUGAUAUGUCUUCAUUCAUGAGUCUCUAUGGAUUAUUGUCCUUUUGUGGGACAGGGGAGAGACCCUUACAAAUAGAGAUUUCCUUUAUAAUUUAUAAAGAAAUUAUAAAUUUCUCUUACAAAUGACAAUUUUUUAGAGCUCCUCCCGUGUCUUCGGUUUCUCCAAAUAACCAGCUCAAAAUAAUCAAUUUGCCAAAGAAGCAUAUUUUGGGGUGGUAAUUUUGAUCUUCUUCAGUCAUAUUUUGGAGUUUCAUGUCCUGAGAUCCAUCCAUAUCAUUAUCCCUAUUUGAGUUAUGGGGAAGUUGAGGUAAUACCUAGAAAGUUGGGACAAUAGGAUCUUAAAAAUGGAAAAUGAUGCCACUUCCGUAUCAUAACAUAGGAAGAUAGAAUAACUCUAAAUGUAAAUGAACUUUAAAAGAGGUCCAAAAACAAGAAACAUUUAAGAAAUGUAAAAGAAUUUUACAAUGAAACAAUUUCAGUUGAAGAUUUCAAUACUAUUCUCAUUACUUGAUACAAAUACUAAACAAAAUUUAACACUAUAAGCCACUUCAACUGUAAAUGGGUUAUUGUGGUGUAGACUUGAAUAAAAUGCUUGGAGAAGUGGUUUGGCACAGUUCUGGGUGUGUCUAGGCAGAUGACUGCCUUACUGAAGAGGGAAGACCCACCCUGAAUGUGGGUGGCACCAGCCAAUAGGCUUGUAGUCUAGAUGGAAUAAAAUGAGGGGGAAGAAGAAAGUCUCCAUUUCUGUUGCUUAGAGGAGCCCCAAGCUUUGCCAUUGCCUUUGGACACCCAUCUCCUGGCUUCCAGAGCACUCCAGGCCUUUCAACUGGACCCUCCAGCUCUCCAGCAUGCAGACAGUCCUUUUGCAUUCUUCCACCCCUGCAUCUCCAGGCAGCCAUUGUAA